rnacentral:rRNA from 1 species
UACGGGGGGAGCAAGCGUUGUUCGGAUUUACUGGGCGUAAAGGGCGCGUAGGCGGCGUAACAAGUCACUUGUGAAAUCUCCGGGCUUAACCCGGAGCGGCCAAGUGAUACUGUUGUGCUAGAGUGCAGAAGGGGCAACUGGAAUUCUCGGUGUAGCGGUGAAAUGCGUAGAUAUCUGGAGGAACACCGGUGGCGAAGGCGGCGUUCUGGACUGCAACUGACACUGAGGAACGAAAGCCAGGGGAGCAAACGGG